UGGGCCCUGAGUCAUCCUCAGCCCUGGCCACUCCACCCCCUGCACCCCCUCCCCUGCCUUGGUUCUCAGGGCACAGUGCGCCAAUGGCCUUUCGUCCUCACCCCCUCAUGCUCCAGAGCUGGAGACCCCCAGCUGCCUGGGCUAGGGAGACUCCUCUGUGCCCAGCCAUCAAGAUGAGGGGAGCUCCAGUAGGGGGUGUUUUAGGUGAUGUGAUCAGGAGCCCCACCACCACCGUCCUCGGAGGUCUCCAUCACGUGGCCCUCUUGAACCUCCAUCGCGCUCGUCCCUCUCCGAAAUGAUCUACUGGUCAGUUGUUACUCUGCUCUGCCGGUACGCAACUGUGCCCCCCGCUGAGGGAGGU